UAAAAUUUAUAUAAUUAGGUAAUAAAGAGAUUCCGAAACCUAAAGAAUUUGGCGGUAUUUUAAAUAAUUGGAGGAACCUGUUAUUUAAUUGACACUCCACAACAUAUCUUUCCUAAAUUUUAUUUGUAUAUCGUCGUUUUGAUAAUAUUUAAAAAUUAUAAUCAAUCUUAAUAAAUUUUUUAAUUCAGAUCAAGGUGCAGUAUAUUUAGGUUAUAAUGGGUUACAAUAUAAAAAUAUAUUACAGAAGUUAAACUGAAAUUAUUCUAAAGGUGGAUUCAAAAGUAAUAUUAAAUUAAAAUGUUAAAUUGAUUAAUAACUUAAAAUAUGC
rnacentral:rRNA from 1 species